UCACCACUUCACCAUCGUGUCAAGCUUAUCAGCGAUUGCGAAUUUGCGAUGGGCUACCCGCUCGAUCCGGAUAGUUGAUUUCCUAUCUAACGGCCUAGCCUUCAAGUCCCGUGUGCUGCGCUGUGGGCUGUUCAGAUUUGCACACCGCGGCUGCUCGCCCGCCAGCCGUUCUUCCCCGGUCCCCGCGACAGAACCUUCUAGAAACCCCCGGCAGCGGCGGCGCACCCGCGCCUACCUGCUAGCCCUAGAGUAGCAGCGGCGAAUGGCGGCCGCGGUCGAGGAGCGCAUGGAUUCGUUUUUCAAACAGGCGCGGGGGAGAGGGGGCUAUUGGUGGGAGCACGUCGAGUUGGCUCCUGAAGUGUGGGGAGGUCUGGAGCUGGAAAUGGCCCCAUCUCGCUGCCACUGAUCUCGGAUUCGACCUGUAAUUUUGACAAGUCGAUUUCCGUUGCGCUGUUCAAGUGGGCGCGUCGAUCUGCGUCCGUCAGCGACUCUGGGCCAAAAUUGAAUGUGCAGUCCAGCUACUUGGUUCCAAUUGGCCUCUUUCCGUGUCGGAUUAGAGCUUGGAAGGGACUGCUUUCUGCAAGAAAAGUGCUGGAGGCCAUGACGGUGACAGGCCCUGGGCGGUGAUAGCUAAACUUCAAGGGAUGGCGUGCACAAGGCGCAGGGCGUAAGAUAGUGUUGGCUUUAGUUUGCUCGAUCAACUGUGAUGUCUGUUGUUUUCCUUUUGCUGUAUCACAGAUUCAGGGUUUCGCUUCCUGGGUCUUCCCUGAACUUUCCUGUUUCCGCAACACACUGAACCUUUGUGUUUUCCAGUAAAGCAGGGAUGAAAAGCCCUUUCUCAUUUAAAUAAUCUUUGAUAUACAAUGACUUCUUGCAACUUCCAGAGUUUUUAAUCUUUAAGGUUUUGUCUAUAAGAAAAAUCCCCAAAAAUUAAGUAAUUCUUACAACUUGAAAUGUCAGUUUUUACCGUUGCUAAUAUGUUGAAGAAUUUGACCAUAUAUUUAUGAUUAUCAUCUAAAUAGUUGCUGUGAUCUCAAAGCACAGAGGUUAAUAACUUGAAUGGGAGACUGCUUGUCACUGUCUCAAUCCCAGUACAUGAUCAACCUUCUAGCUAGAAUUAAUACCAGGUCCAACAUGCAGUGCUUGUAAUCGUUUUUCAAGGAGAGAUGAUAUUCUCUCACUAGAUUUAUCUAGUCGACGCCUCCCUCCUCAAACAUUUGGUCUGUAGACCAGAUUUAAAACUUCUAUGAAAAAAAGAGCAGAUUUAAAACGUUUUCCAUCACUUCUUCAUAUUUACAUUCUAAAAUAAACUGGAACUCCAAUUAAUUCCUGGUUGGCAUUUUCUUCAUGACUUCGUCAAGUUGCUCAGUUUGUUUGCUCAAUCUAAAACUGGCAACUUUCUCAAAUCCGAGCCCUACCGCACUCCCCAAUCCCCAUGCAUUACUCUUUGUACAGUUUAUGAUUUUCAGCUUCCUUAAUCAAAUCUCCAUAAGAAACAAAUGGUCGCCAUCUCGAAUUACUGUAAUAUCAUCGAUUUCAGCAAGAUCUCGACUUAACAGUUUCGUAGGAUAAUAACCGGCAAACUUCUGACCUACAGAAAAAUUGCAGGAUAAGUAUAUUGGAACUAAAACAAGGAAUGCUCUGUGUGAUUUAGAUAGUACCCAGUGCUAGUAUCUUGAAUUAUGCCUAAUUAGGCUUUCAUGCUAUUUGCUUAGUACAACUGCUGCUGUUUUUUGGGAUGGCAAAAGAACUGAAGAACUCCAAAAGAAGCCAGGGCACAACUCUAUCCAGAAAAUGUUCCACUAUGAUAUCAACUAUGAAUGACAGAUGCUACAAGGUUGCAUUAUUAGCUAACUGGGCUAAUACAAACCCAGUGCGGCAUCGAUUCAUCAACUUAGCAUUGAAAUCAAAACUCUUGUGUUACCUAGGGCCAGAAGUUGGUCCUUUAGAAUUAUGGACAUCACUUUACUUACUGGGCUAGGGCCCUGCAACGGGGUCCACUUAAACUCAGUUGCAGGACUACUUUAAAUUCUUACUGGAGUAAGAUUUAGUUGAAUAAUUGUAACUAAAACUUCGACAGCUUAACCUUAAAUGUUUCUUUAGCAGGCAAGAGUAUUAUAACUAAAACUUGGACAGCUUAACCUUUAAGUGUUUCUGUAGCAGGCAAGUAUAUUAGCAUACUGAUCUAAGACAGGUUAUCAGCUGGAGCCUGGAAGUGGUGUUUCCGGACGAAUACUGUAACCAUCAUAAUCAUGUGAGCAAAUUCCACCUUCUGUGUGUAUAUCUGUGAUCUCCUGGAGUUCUUCAGCAACUGAGCAUGAUAACAAACUAGCUUUCAUGUGCUCAUACCAAUUGGAGCAUGCAAGUGAAGGAAACACCAUGGAAAAGAUGUAUCUUUUCUAGGACAGGGAGGAAUAAGUGGCAUGCUAUGCUUGAACGGAUUGCCUUGGGAAGACUAUCCAAUGUUUCUUUCUGUUUCAGCUCCUCUGUCUUAUACCUUAGGCAGAUAUGAGCUAGCAUUUCAUCCCUAAUUUGUGCUGGUAACUGAUUUCUUGCAGCAAACUGAGAGGCUGCAUGGAUGGUAUCCCUCUGAAGAAUUGACCAGAAAGGUAUUUGGAAGAGUACGUACAAAAUUCCUGGUACGGCAACUUCCCUGGACAACCAGAUUUGUCAUGUUUCCAAUGAGGAUUGUUAAAAGUGAAGUUUACCAUCAGGAGUUUGCCAAACAGUCUGGGUUAUGGUACUGGAGCUGAAAAAUAAAUAAAUAGCAAAUGUACAAGGCUUCAGCUUAACUUGCCUCACAAUCCACAGACUUCCAUCACGGGCUUCCUGGGAGCUUGCAUCUGUCUAGAAGCCUGGUGGAGCGACCUUUAUCUGUGUCCAAUACUUUUUCCAGCUUCAUCACGUGUAGCUAUUUGAUGGUUGUCUUUCUUUCAUAUGUCACCUUCAGUUUUUGCUAACUUGAAUUCUAGAGACUGUCAUCUGGAAAUGAUUUCUUUUUUUGAACUUUCAGGCAAAGAAAUGCCUAUUCGCGGUGUAAGGAGAUGAUUCUGUGCUUUCUCUCGAGCUCAUUUGUGCAGAACUGUCUUGCAUACUGUUAACCAGGAACUCCGUAUAUGUUUGGAAUUGGGAAAUUACUGACCGGUUGGAUUGAAGUGUCAGCUUGCAGAUGUUGCAUGUUUUUCGGGCUCUGAAAUUAUGAACGAAUGUACUGUAGCUCGUUACCGGUCAAGAGUCAAGACUGCACUGGAUGCAUCUCCAAGAAAAACAUAUGGAAUUGGGAAUAGGCAGUUAGCUUUGACUGAGUUGAUCCUGAUCUUUUACUGAAAAAUCCAAUGCCUUCGUUCACAAUCGAACUAAAUAAGUCGGGUCUGUUACUGUCACAAAAUAAUACUGUAAUUAAAGUCAGAACUGUUUGGUU